rnacentral:rRNA from 1 species
UACAGAGGGGGCAAGCGUUAUUCGGAAUUAUUGGGCGUAAAGGGCGCGUAGGCGGCUUUGCAAGUGACGGGUGAAAUCCCUCGGCUUAACCGAGGAACUGCCUGUCAGACUGUGAGGCUUGAGACCGGGAGAGGUGAGUGGAAUUCCCAGUGUAGCGGUGAAAUGCGUAGAUAUUGGGAGGAACACCAGUGGCGAAGGCGACUCUUUGGCCUGUAACUGACACUGAGGCGCGAAAGCGUGGGGAGCAAACAGG